rnacentral:rRNA from 1 species
AUUGAACGCUGGCGGCAGGCUUAACACAUGCAAGUCGAGCGGGGUGAUGGUGCUUGCACUAUCACUUAGCGGCGGACGGGUGAGUAAUGCUUAGGAAUCUGCCUAUUAGUGGGGGACGACAUCUCGAAAGGGAUGCUAAUACCGCAUACGUCCUACGGGAGGAAGCAGGGGAUCACUUGUGACCUUGCGCUAAUAGAUGAGCCUAAGUCGGAUUAGCUAGUUGGUUGGGUAAAGGCCUACCAAGGCGACGAUCUGUAGCGGGUCUGAGAGGAUGAUCCGCCACACUGGGACUGAGACACGGCCCAGACUCCUACGGGAGGCAGCAGUGGGGAAUAUUGGACAAUGGGGGGAACCCUGAUCCAGCCAUGCCGCGUGUGUGAAGAAGGCCUUAUGGUUGUAAAGCACUUUAAGCGAGGAGGAGGCUCUUUUGGUUAAUACCCAAGAUGAGUGGACGUUACUCGCAGAAUAAGCACCGGCUAACUCUGUGCCAGCCGCCGCCGUAA